rnacentral:rRNA from 1 species
UAGUUAUAUUCUUGAAACUUAAAGAAUUUGGCGGUAUUUUAAUCUUUUUAGAGGAACCUGUUCUGUAAUCGAUAUUCCACGUUAAAUUUUACUAAAUUAUUUGUAUAUCGUUGUCUAAAGAAUAAAUUUUCUAAAAUUUAAAUUAAAAUUUAUGUCAAAUCAAGGUGUAGUUUAUAAUUUAGUAGAAAUGGGUUACAAUAAAUUUAUUUAGGAUAUUAUUAAAGGAGGAUUUAAAAGUAAAUUAAUUUUAAUAUAAUUAAUUGAUGAAAGUUCUAAAAUAUGU